ACUCACACACUCAGAUGAAUGAGCAAGGAAGGGGGAGACCUCAACAGCCCCUUUAGACGUGGGGCUGAAUUGAUGGGAUUGUGAUUUGUAGGAUUUCUCCACUUAGUCCCUGCCUCCUACUUGCUCUCCAGCCACUCCAAAGUCUCUUCCCCUCUCUUUAAGCAGCGAUUUCUUUCAAUCUCUCUCUCUCCCUCCCUGUGUCUCUCUCCCUCACACUCUCCCUCUCUCUCCACAUACACUCAUCUCCCCGGAGAGAGAGAGAGAGAGAGGAGAAACUCAACUCCCAAACACCGACCAGAUGUCGAAGAAACGCAAAGCCCUGGAGGGUGGCGGAGCCCGGCUCCCCCCCGAGGACCCCAGAGCCUGCUUUGGGGCCGGCGAGGAGCAAGGGUAAAAGUUCAGGGCCAGUACAGAGUCUAUAUAGAAAAAUAGAGCCUUCGCAUCAGAUUUACCGUAUGGGCUGCCUAAAGUAACUAUUUUGAAGUCAUCUUUGGAAAGCUAGAGCCUGAUAUGCUCAUCCUGGUUUCUGUCACCUUCUCCAAAGGAAGGGAAGGACAAACAGGGAAGUUUUGCCCACUUGCUCCCUGCCAGGUGCGCUGAUGGAGUCUGCUGAUGGUGUGAGCUAGCCUCGUCUCUCAGACGACUACAUGGUAUCCUGAAAAUGGAUCCCUAGAUGAGAACACUUGACAGGACUGUAAACGUGACUGUAGAGUGAAGGCAUCCAAGAAAGUUUUCGAGCGACAGAUAUAGGUUGCUGUGGUCUCUUAACCAAGAAAAGAAGUAAAGCUGGGUUUCUAUGUUUCACUGUUCUGAGUUGAAUGCCUAAGUUACUUUCUCAAUACAUAAGUGCAUUUAAAAAGUUCCAGGGUUCUUCAGAAGCUUUGUAAUUUCAAACUGUUGUAUAUAAACACAAAGGCAUUUAUCAAGUGUAUCUAUGAAAGGUAAAAACCCUAUUGAAGCAAAACCAAAGAAACUACAAGCCAGAAUUAGUAAAUUAUAUGAAUGUUGACCUCUGUACGUGUUAUAUCCCAC
rnacentral:lncRNA from 1 species